rnacentral:rRNA from 1 species
CCUACGGGAGGCAGCAGUGAGGAAUAUUGGUCAAUGGCCGUAAGGCUGAACCAGCCAAGUCGCGUGAGGGAAGACUGCCCUAUGGGUUGUAAACCUCUUUUAUGCGGGGGUAAAGGUGUCCACGUGUGGAUGUUUGCAGGUACCGCAUGAAUAAGGACCGGCUAAUUCCGUGCCAGCAGCCGCGGUAAUACGGAGGGUUCGGGCGUUAUCCGGAUUUAUUGGGUUUAAAGGGAGCGACGGCCGGCAUUUAAGCGCGCCGGGAAAUUUUGUGGCUUAACCAUGUGGGAGCGGAGCGAACUGGAGAUCUUGAGUGAGCGGAAGGAAGGCGGAAUGCGUGGUGUAGCGGUGAAAUGCUUAGAUAUCACGCAGAACUCCGAUUGCGAAGGCAGCCUGCCGCCGCGUUACUGACGCUGAAGCACGAAAGCGUGGGUAUCGAACAGGAUUAGAUACCCUUGUAGUC